UGGAUAAAACUAUUAAUCACUAUCGAUUGAUCACUGUGAAUAAAAGGCUCCAUCUUUACCUUGUUUACUGAUUUGUCAUACCUACCUAGCUUGAUUUAUUUUGUUUUAAGAAAUCAUUCGGAUGUUUGCCCUAUCAACUUUUCGAUGGUACUUUCUGCGCCUACCAUGGUGACCACAGGUAACAAGGAAUCGGGGUUCAAUUCCGGAGAGGAAGCCUAAGAAACGGCUACCAUAUCCAAGGAAGGCAGCAGGCGUGCAAAUUACCCACUCUCGACACGAGGAGGUAGUGA